UACGUAGGGCGCAAGCGUUAUCCGGAAUUAUUGGGCGUAAAGAGCUCGUAGGCGGUAUGUCGCGUCUGCCGUGAAAGUCCGGGGCUCAACUCCGGAUCUGCGGUGGGUACGGGCAGACUAGAGUGAUGUAGGGGAGACUGGAAUUCCUGGUGUAGCGGUGAAAUGCGCAGAUAUCAGGAGGAACACCGAUGGCGAAGGCAGGUCUCUGGGCAUUAACUGACGCUGAGGAGCGAAAGCAUGGGGAGCGAACAGG
rnacentral:rRNA from 1 species